GCGGAGGUAGCCAAGCCUGGUCAAAGGCGCAAGACUCAAGAUCUUGUCCCUUAGUGGGUUCGCAGGUUCAAAUCCUGCCUUCCGCA
rnacentral:tRNA from 1 species